CCUUAUGAAAGCACGUUGUUUUCAGAGCACCAGUUUAUAUCUCAUUGUUAUUCAGUCAUUAGAUGUUCAUCACUCUUGCUAAUGAUAUAUCUUUUGUCAGUCCAGCAUGAUGAGGGCAAAGAUAGUUGUUUUGCUCUGGAUUCUGGAACAAGCAACUCUCAAGCACAUUCUGAUUUCAUUCAUCAGUGGGGUUGGAGCUGUUUUUGUGUUCGGAGGACUCUGUUUCUUUCUUAGUCAAGUGAUAAAAAGAAAGUGUAAGAAAAAUGUCCAGGCCAGAAAUCACAAUAUACUUCCGUUGGAAACACUUUCAGAUGAAAACAACAGUGAACCAGAUCGAAGGCGGCUAUACAGAAGCAGUUUAAGGAAAAGUUACUUUUAAAAGAGUCAAGGUCCAAGGCAGGCAGCUAGCCAGUCUUGUUGUGCGGUGGUGGGUUCCUGGUCACUGAGUCCUGUGCAUUGAUGAUUGAUUUCACCGUGUGUAUAGUGAGACUUGUGCACCUGGUGUUAUAAUUUGUGAUAUAGAAACCUUUGGCUAGUUGAUAGCUUACCUGCCUAUGGUAAACCUUACUCUCCUUUGUGUGUGUGUGGGGGUUGGAACUAUUUGCUGUUGAUACUAUACAACUUUUUAAACUCUAUUUAUUAUUGCAUUGAAUAAACUUUGUAUUUUUUGA